rnacentral:rRNA from 1 species
AUUGAACGCUGGCGGCAGGCCUAACACAUGCAAGUCGAGCGAGCGGCGGACGGGUGAGUAAUGUAUGGGAAAAUGCCUGAUGGCGGGGGAUAACUACUGGAAACGGUAGCUAAUACCGCAUACCAUCAGAUGUGCCCAGAUGGGAUUAGCUAGUGGGUGGGGUAAUGGCUCACCAAGGCGCCGAUCCCUAGCUGGUCUGAGAGGAGGACCAGCCACACUGGAACUGAGACACGGUCCAGACUCCUACGGGAGGCAGCAGUGGGGAAUAUUGCACAAUGGGGGCAAGCCUGAUGCAGCCAUGCCGCGUGUGUGAAGAAGGCCUUCGGGUUGUAAAGCACUUUCAGCGAGGAGGCGUUACUCGCAGAAGAAGCACCGGCUAACUCCGUGCCAGCAGCCGCGGUAAUAC